ACGACGAACUUUUGCGAAAGCAUCUGCCAAGGAUGUUCUCAUUAAUCAAGAACGAAAGUUGGGGGAUCGAAGACGAUUAGAUACCGUCGUAGUCUCGACUGUAAACGAUGCCGACUAGGGAUCGCGCGGUGUUGAUUACGACCCGCGCGGCACCUCGCGAGAAAUCAAAGUGUUUGGGUUCCGGGGGGAGUAUGGUCGCAAGGCUGAAACUUAAAGGAAUUGACGGAAGGGCACCACCAGGAGUGGAGCCUGCGGCUUAAUUUGACUCAACACGGGGAAAC
rnacentral:rRNA from 1 species